rnacentral:rRNA from 1 species
GACGAACGCUGGCGGCGUGCUUAAUACAUGCAAGUCGAACGGAAAGGCCCUGCGUUUGUGGGUUACUCGAGUGGCGAACGGGUGAGUAACACGCGAGUAACCUGCCCUUGACUUUCGGAUAACUUCACGAAACUGGGGCUAAUACCCGAUAGGAUCUCCUGCUCCACGGUGUGGGUUGGAAAAUUUCGGCGGUUGGGGAUGGACUCGCGGGUUAUCAGCUGGUUGGGGGGGUAGUGGCUUACCAAGGCUGCGACGGCUAGCCGGCCUGAGAGGGUGACCGGCGACAAUGGGACUGAGAUACGGCGCAGUAUGCUAUGGGAGGCAGCAGUGGGAAAUAUGGCAGAGUGGGGGGAAGCCUGAUGCAGCAACGCCGCGUGCGGAAUGCCGGGCUACGGGUGGUAAACCGAUUUCGCCGGUGAUGAGGCGGGAGUGACGGUAAUGGGUAAAGAAGCACCGGCUAACUACGUG